rnacentral:rRNA from 1 species
GAUGAACGCUGGCGGCGUGCUUAACACAUGCAAGUCGAACGAGAAGUGGAGACGGACACCUUCGGGCGGAAGACUUUAUUUCGAGUGGCGGACGGGUGAGUAACGCGUGGGUAACCUGCCUCAUACAGGGGGAUAACAGUUGGAAACGACUGUUAAUACCGCAUAAGACCACAGCACCGCAUGGUGCGGGGGUAAAAACUCCGGUGGUAUGAGAUGGACCCGCGUUCGAUUAGCCAGUUGGCGGGGUAACGGCCCACCAAAGCGACGAUCGAUAGCCGAUCUGAGAGGAUGCCCGGCCACAUUGGGACUGAGACACGGCCCAAACUCCUACGGGAGGCAGCAGUGGGGAAUAUUGCACAAUGGGGGAAACCCUGAUGCAGCGACGCCGCGUGAGUGAAGAAGUAUUUCGGUAUGUAAAGCUCUAUCAGCAGGGAAGAAAAUGACGGUACCUGAGUAAGAAGCCCCGGCUAACUACGUG